rnacentral:lncRNA from 1 species
AGUCAUAAAUGAACUGCUUGAAUCCUCUAACCUCAACCUCAGUAACAGUAGAGCCAAUCCUGUUUUCAGCAGAUAAGACAAUGUUGAAAUCUCCACUAAUUAACCAAGUGUCUUGGUUAGGAAUAGAGAUCCCUUCAAGGUCACUCCACAGUCUUUCUCUUUGGCAGGGAGUAUUUUGGGCAUACACAAUAGUAAGGUGAGUUUUGAUAUGGCUAGAGGGAUCCUCUAUGUAGCAGUGUACAAAGUGAUCAGAAGCAUAGGAUAUGGUAGC